rnacentral:piRNA from 1 species
UGGAAUGUCCAAUUUUCUGAGGAGCCUCCA